rnacentral:lncRNA from 1 species
UUUUUUGCUUCCCACUGAGGUUGUUCAACAACGAUGGUCUCCCUUGCCCGCCAACAAAUGCCUAAUACUGUGUGCCGGUCUGGAUGGCUCUGAAUCCUCUGAGCUUGAGGUGGUUUUGUUGUCUCUCACCCAGCAAUUGAUUAUCUAGACGGAGUCCUUGUGCUGUGUUAGGUGUUUUUAAUAUUGUUUCCUUUAUUUUGCUUUCUGUGCUUAGUGAUCAUGUACAGUUUGAUAAUUUGGGAAUAUCUUCUUUUGGGUUCUCCUCUUUUAUUAAUGAAGUUCGGUUCAUCCGAUUUGAACCCUCAAAAAAAAAAAAAAAAAAAAAAAAACUAUCGAGCCCUUGAGUUUAAAAUGCUGGCUUCUUUAGAUGUACGGCGCGUAAGGUUUUUUUUAAGGGAAAUAGCCCUAAAUGCCACCAUUUUUAUAAUUGUAAUUAAAAAUACCACCCCUUCCCAAUUUUUGUACAACUAUCACCUAUAAAUACAUCUUUAUUGUGGACUGAUUGUACCAUAUCAGUUUUCCAGAAAUUGGGUUCUCUCUCAACUCUCUUGGCUCUAUCUCUCUCUUCGACCCAUCUCUCUCUUUCGCUCAGCUCUCUCCCUCGUG